UGGACUGUUUGUUCCUGUCAGACGGCUGGAGAGAGAGGAAGGAUUCCUAUUGAUAUUCCCAUUGGUAAAAGUUGGAUCUCACUCUGAACAUGAGGAUCUGGAUCACAUCCAUUAGCAGGACUAAAAGCAGUGCUGUGUCAAGAUAGUAUAACAACCAGGGAAUUGCAAAUGCCAAGCACAGGAAAGAGAGAAGCUUACUGACCUCUCUAACGUCCCCUGUGUUGGCUCCCCGGACCGUGGAUCCCAGCGUGCUGCAGUAAACAGGUCUGGCUGCUUCCUUACCCCUUGUGGCAGAGUGAACGUGGAGAGAGGCAGAGCCGUGACUGUCUGCUCUCCUUGCUCCCUGGCCUAAUUACCUGUGCCAGUGCCUCGGAUGGCAGGUAGUGCGAG
rnacentral:lncRNA from 1 species